UGCAUCUUGUCUUAUUCAAAACAAUUCCAAGCGAAGUCAGCUGAAGAAUGUUCUUACCGAUAACUCUUCUGGUUCUAAGAAAGUUAUGAAGGAGUGUCACAAUGAGGAUGCACAAUUCGCAUUUGCUGUUGACAAAAUCUUAGAAAUGCCAUCAGAUCAUUCAACUGAUAACUGUUAUUCUGGCAACGUUGCAAUUCUCUACCGUAGGCAGGUAUCAGGGAAAGCCUUCCAAAUGGCUUUCCGUGAUAGGAAAAUACCAUUUAACAUUCACGGUGUGGCUU